rnacentral:rRNA from 1 species
UAGAGGUCUGCCUGCCAGUGACUAUAUGUUUAACGGCCGCGGUACUUUGACCGUGCGAAGGUAGCGCAAUCACUUGUCUUUUAAAUGAAGACCUGUAUGAAUGGCACGACGAGGGCUUAACUGUCUCCUUUUUCCAGUCAAUGAAAUUGAUCUUCCCGUGCAGAAGCGGGAAUAAUAGCAUAAGACGAGAAGACCCUGUGGAGCUUUAGACACUAAAUCAGCCCUUGUCCAAAAUCCCCAUUAAAGGAACAAACACUAGAGUGAGACCUGAUCUAAUGUCUUCGGUUGGGGCGACCUUGGGGAAAGAAAAAUCCCCCAUGCGGAACGGAAAUACUAUAUUUCCAAAGCUAAGAGAGACCACUCAAAGUAUCAAAAAUUUUGACCAACUAUAUGAUCCGGCUUAAGCCGAUCAACGGACCAAGUUACCCCAGGGAUAACAGCGCAAUCCUCUUUUAGAGCCCAUAUCGACAAGAGGGUUUACGACCUCGAUGUUGGAUCAGGACAUCCUAAUGGUGCAGCCGCUAUUAAGGGUUCGUUUGUUCAACGAUUAAAGUCCUACGUGAUCUG